rnacentral:tRNA from 1 species
GACUUGGUAGCCUAGUUGGUAAAGGCAGCACUUCUAGUAUAGUCUGUUAGCUUCAAGCUAAGGUUGCUGGUUCAAAUACUGCCCAAGUCA